rnacentral:rRNA from 1 species
AGCGAACGCUGGCGGCAGGCUUAACACAUGCAAGUCGAACGGGCGUAGCAAUACGUCAGUGGCAGACGGGUGAGUAACGCGUGGGAACGUACCUUUUGGUUCGGAACAACCCAGGGAAACUUGGGCUAAUACCGGAUAAGCCCUUACGGGGAAAGAUUUAUCGCCGAAAGAUCGGCCCGCGUCUGAUUAGCUAGUUGGUGAGGUAACGGCUCACCAAGGCAACGAUCAGUAGCUGGUCUGAGAGGAUGAUCAGCCACAUUGGGACUGAGACACGGCCCAAACUCCUACGGGAGGCAGCAGUGGGGAAUAUUGGACAAUGGGCGCAAGCCUGAUCCAGCCAUGCCGCGUGAGUGAUGAAGGCCCUAGGGUUGUAAAGCUCUUUUGUGCGGGAAGAUAAUGACGGUACCGCAAGAAUAAGCCCCGGCUAACUUCGUGCCAGCAGCCGCCGUAAG